rnacentral:lncRNA from 1 species
UCUGUGUCCUUGUGGGGGUGGAGGCAGCUCUGCUUGGCUAGCUCUGGGGAGCUCCCUGUGGCUGCCCAUGUCCCUAACCUCCAUGCUCAGAAUACACAGGGUCACACGGUUUGUUGGAGGGUGACCGUCCCUGAAGCCGAAUGGUGGCAACUGUGCUUCGGCUUCGAUUCAGAAACAUCCCUCAGGCAGGGCAUGGUGAGGACAGUUAACGCUGGCAGGAGGGACACUGGCUGCAGUUCUGGAAGGACAGGACAGUGCUGCCUCAGGGCUCACACUUCUAUUUCCCUUCAAGUUGGGACCACUCUUCAGUAGAUGAAGACGGUCAUGUAUUCAGCCAGGGUCACACUCAGACCCCUGUUCAGCUCUGGGUUGCUGCUGUGGGAAUCUGGCCAGUCACUUAACUUCUUGAGUCCAGACUUCCGUAAAUGGGUGGACCCCCCUUCCUCCCACGUGGUGCAGAGGGAUCCUGAAGGGAAGCACCUGCCCAGCACAGAGCAGCCUCCCCCUGGAUGCCAGGCUCUCCACCCUGUCUGGGAAUCGUGGGCGAGCCUGGGGAGAUGUUCUGGACGAGCGGGAGGCACGGUCAAAGGUCUAUGCCCCUGAACCUGAAAGCAGUCUCCCACUUGUAUUUACUCUAUUUUUUUUUUUUUUUUUUUUUGGUUUAAUGGUAUAAAACACAAAGGUUUACAGUGAGCAAAGCAAAUUCUGAGCAGAGACUUCUCCACCCCCAAGCCCCUCACUAAGGGCAGCCAGACCUGUUAUAAAUGGAAGGCACAAAAUCAAACUCAUCCCGACCCAGGGAACACAGCCCACUCCAGGGCCAAACCUGCAGAGUCCAAGAGUGACAGCCAGUCGUUCUGGCUCCAGGCACCACUUCUCCCUGAGCCCCCAACUCCCACGAGCAAUGCCGAGUUCAGUGGCUAAAAGAAGCAACUUCAGGUUUAUUUACGGAGAAAAGCCUUUGCCACGGCUGCGGAAGGAGCCCGUUGGCCAGAGUGUGUGGACAUCAACGUUACGCGAAUGGCUGUGCAUGCCAAUGGCUGGUAUAAGGAACUUUUAAGUCCUCAGGUUAAAUGAAAAACUCUGUGGAGCUCUCCACUGCAGCGAUACUUGUUAUGGUUUUCUACCCUGUUUAAGGUUCUAACCUCUCCCCAUUCCCCCACAUUUCUUUACAUCGACUUUAAUUUACUUCAAUAGCAAAUACAGACCUGUUUUGUUAUUUUUUUUUUUUUUUUUGAGACGGAGUCUCGCCCUGUGGCCCAGGCCGGAAUGCAAUGGUGCAAUCUCGGCUCACUGCAACCUCCGUCUCCUGGGCUCAAGUGAUUUCUAUCUGCUUCAGCCGCCUGAGUAGCUGGGACUACAGGUGUGCUCCACCAAGCCUGGCUAUUUUUGUGUGUGUGUUUUUAGCAGAGACAAAGUUUUACCAUGUUGGCCAGGCUGGUCUCAAACUCCUGACCUCAGGUGAUCUGCUUGCCUCAGCCUUCCAAAGUGCUGGGAUUACAGGCGUAAGCCACCACACCUGGCCCAGACCUGUUUUUCUUUUAACCCGUCACUAAACCCAAGAAAUACAGCUGACCUUGGUCCACAGGGAUGGAGCUUUCAGCCCCAGCAACAGAGCAGCGGGACAGUGGAAUGGGUGGGCCUGUGCCGACUCACGCCCUUCUCUGUGGACAAGGAGAACGGUAACGAUGGUGACGGUGGUGGCUGUGAUGACAGUGGCAGCCAGCAGCACUGAGGCAGGCACUGGUUCAGGCCAUUCACUGGACCUUUGCAGUUAAACCCACAUAGACUCUGGACUAAGCACUAUUAUUACUAUCCUGAUCGUGCAGAAAAAGAAAUGUUGGCUCAGAAAAGUCAGUGGAAGAUCUGAGAUUCUAGCCAGGCACUGACUCCGGGGUGUGCCCCAACCCCUGGCUCUGCACCUCCUGGGGGUGGCCACACUGUGACUCGGAGCGCCCGACAUUGAGACACUACAUUGUAAUGAAUCACAGAUUUCAGUCCUUAGAGUGGGGAAGAGAAUAAGGUUUGCAGGGUUCCCACCACCCGCCCUGGACCCCACACUGGGACCGUCACCCACUUCACCCCACCCCAGCAACUGCCAGCCCUGUCCAGGUUC